rnacentral:rRNA from 1 species
CCUACGGGAGGCAGCAGUGGGGAAUAUUGGACAAUGGGCGAAAGCCUGAUCCAGCAAUGCCGCGUGAGUGAUGAAGGCCUUCGGGUCGUAAAGCUCUUUUACCAGGGAUGAUAAUGACAGUACCUGGAGAAUAAGCUCCGGCUAACUCCGUGCCAGCAGCCGCGGUAAUACGGAGGGAGCUAGCGUUGUUCGGAAUUACUGGGCGUAAAGAGUACGUAGGCGGUUAUUCAAGUCAGAGGUGAAAGCCCGGGGCUCAACCCCGGAACUGCCUUUGAAACUAGAUAACUAGAGUCUUGGAGAGGUUAGUGGAAUUCCGAGUGUAGAGGUGAAAUUCGUAGAUAUUCGGAAGAACACCAGUGGCGAAGGCGACUAACUGGACAAGUACUGACGCUGAGGUACGAAAGCGUGGGAGCAAACAGGAUUAGAUACCCUGGUAGUCCACGCCGUAAACGAUGAUAACUAGUUGUUCGGUCACUUGGUGACUGAGUGACGCAGCUAACGCAUUAAGUUAUCCGCCUGGGGAGUACGGUCGCAAGAUUAAAACUCAAAUGAAUUGACGG